GACGAACGCUGGCGGCGUGCUUAACACAUGCAAGUCGAACGGAAAGGCCCUGCUUUUGUGGGGUGCUCGAGUGGCGAACGGGUGAGUAACACGUGAGUAACCUGCCCUUGACUUUGGGAUAACUUCAAGAAACUGGGGCUAAUACCGGAUAGGAGCUCCUGCUGCAUGGUGGGGGUUGGAAAGUUUCGGCGGUUGGGGAUGGACUCGCGGCUUAUCAGCUUGUUGGUGGGGUAGUGGCUUACCAAGGCUUUGACGGGUAGCCGGCCUGAGAGGGUGACCGGCCACAUUGGGACUGAGAUACGGCCCAGACUCCUACGGGAGGCAGCAGUGGGGAAUAUUGCACAAGGGGCGGAAGCCUGAUGCAGCAACGCCGCGUGCGGGAUGACGGCCUUCGGGUUGUAAACCGCUUUCGCCUGUGACGAAGCGUGAGUGACGGUAAUGGGUAAAGAAGCACCGGCUAACUACG
rnacentral:rRNA from 1 species